AUGAACGCUAGCUACAGGCUUAACACAUGCAAGUCGAGGGGCAGCAUUUUAGUUUGCUUGCAAACUGAAGAUGGCGACCGGCGCACGGGUGAGUAACACGUAUCCAACCUGCCGAUAACUCCGGAAUAGCCUUUCGAAAGAAAGAUUAAUACCGGAUAGUAUACGAAUAUCGCAUGAUAUUUUUAUUAAAGAAUUUCGGUUAUCGAUGGGGAUGCGUUCCAUUAGUUUGUUGGCGGGGUAACGGCCCACCAAGACUACGAUGGAUAGGGGUUCUGAGAGGAAGGUCCCCCACAUUGGAACUGAGACACGGUCCAAACUCCUACGGGAGGCAGCAGUGAGGAAUAUUGGUCAAUGGGCGAGAGCCUGAACCAGCCAAGUAGCGUGAAGGAUGAAGGCUCUAUGGGUCGUAAACUUCUUUUAUAUGGGAAUAAAGUUUUCCACGUGUGGAAUUUUGUAUGUACCAUAUGAAUAAGGAUCGGCUAACUCCGUGCCAGCAGCCGCGGUAAUACGGAGGAUCCGAGCGUUAUCCGGAUUUAUUGGGUUUAAAGGGAGCGUAGGUGGAUUGUUAAGUCAGUUGUGAAAGUUUGCGGCUCAACCGUAAAAUUGCAGUUGAAACUGGCAGUCUUGAGUACAGUAGAGGUGGGCGGAAUUCGUGGUGUAGCGGUGAAAUGCUUAGAUAUCACGAAGAACUCCGAUUGCGAAGGCAGCUCACUAGACUGUCACUGACACUGAUGCUCGAAAGUGUGGGUAUCAAACAGGAUUAGAUACCCUGGUAGUCCACACAGUAAACGAUGAAUACUCGCUGUUUGCGAUAUACAGCAAGCGGCCAAGCGAAAGCGUUAAGUAUUCCACCUGGGGAGUACGCCGGCAACGGUGAAACUCAAAGGAAUUGACGGGGGCCCGCACAAGCGGAGGAACAUGUGGUUUAAUUCGAUGAUACGCGAGGAACCUUACCCGGGCUUAAAUUGCAACAGAAUAUAUUGGAAACAGUAUAGCCGUAAGGCUGUUGUGAAGGUGCUGCAUGGUUGUCGUCAGCUCGUGCCGUGAGGUGUCGGCUUAAGUGCCAUAACGAGCGCAACCCUUAUCUUUAGUUACUAACAGGUGAUGCUGAGGACUCUAGAGAGACUGCCGUCGUAAGAUGUGAGGAAGGUGGGGAUGACGUCAAAUCAGCACGGCCCUUACGUCCGGGGCUACACACGUGUUACAAUGGGGGGUACAGAAGGCGGCUACCUGGUGACAGGAUGCUAAUCCCAAAAACCUCUCUCAGUUCGGAUCGAAGUCUGCAACCCGACUUCGUGAAGCUGGAUUCGCUAGUAAUCGCGCAUCAGCCAUGGCGCGGUGAAUACGUUCCCGGGCCUUGUACACACCGCCCGUCAAGCCAUGAAAGCCGGGGGUACCUGAAGUACGUAACCGCAAGGAGCGUCCUAGGGUAAAACUGGUAAUUGGGGCU
rnacentral:rRNA from 1 species